GCUCCAUUUCCGAGUGAAUCGAAUGCCUACCAGGAAGACCAGACUAGAGGACAACUGAUUUCACGGAUCAGGAUGCAGACUGGCUGCGGAAUGGCUCUGUCCAGGGGACUGAGGUGCUGCCAGCGAGUCCUAGCAUGGGUGCCUGUAGUCAUUAUCUCCCUGGUCGUGCUUUGGUCGUAUUACGCCUAUGUGUGUGAGCUGUGUCUAGUGACUAUCGAAAAUGCUUUAGAAAGAGCAUUAUACCUCUUCAUAUUUCAUAUAAUGUUUUUACUCUUCGUUUGGACAUACUGGAAAGCAAUUUUUACUUCUCCUAAAGAGCCAACAAAAGAGUUUUUGCUGCCUUAUGCUGAAAAGGAGCGAUAUGACAGCGAGGAGCGCCCAGAAGUUCAGAGGCAAAUCCUUGCUGAAUUUGCAAAGAAGCUACCUGUUUAUACCCGGACAGCAAAUGGAGCAAUUCGUUUCUGUGAUCGGUGCCAGGUUGUGAAGCCCGAUCGCUGCCAUCACUGCUCUGUGUGUGGGAUGUGUGUCUUAAAGAUGGACCAUCAUUGUCCAUGGGUAAACAACUGUAUUGGAUUUUCUAACUACAAAUUCUUCCUGCUAUUCCUGGAAUAUUCCAUGCUGUACUGUUUGUACAUUGCUUCUACAGUUUUUAAGUACUUCCUUCUUUACUGGACGGGCGAGCUAUCAAAUAGUCGUGCAAAAUUCCAUGUCCUUUUCCUGCUUUUUGUCGCUUUGAUGUUCUUCUUGAGCCUAAUGUUUCUCUUUGGAUAUCAUUGCUGGUUAGUGAGUCUAAACAGAACUACCCUUGAGGCCUUCUCGACCCCAGUGUUUCACAGUGGUCCUGAUAAAAAUGGCUUCCACCUGGGCAUUAGAAAGAACUUGGAGCAAGUGUUUGGGAAGCAGAAAAAUCUAUGGUUAAUUCCUCUCUUCACAAGUAUUGGAGAUGGACUAUCCUUUCCAAUGAGAACAGUUUCAGAAUCUCAAAACCCUUUGCUGUCUAGAGAGAAUCGGUGGGAUGAUGAUGAUGAUGAUGAUGGUACUGAUGAAGAAAAUCCAGGUCCUCAUGAGACGUCACACAUAGCCAUAGAAAUAGACACAUAGUUACUGGCACAGUUGAAGCUGAAAAUGCAAAGUUAAGGUAUGUAAGUUAAGGGGUCAGAAUACUGGGAAAGUUUGCACAUAGCAUCCGACAGCCAAUAUCCAGGCACCCUUGCUCCACAUGCAGACAUUGUACAGCUUUAGAACUCCAUCCCCAGGAGCCAUUCAGGCUGUGACGCUGUUGGACAAAUCUGCUGCUUAAGUUGGGCAAUUAUUUGUAUUUGGUGGGUGGGAGAAAGGAAAAUGCGAUUGUUUUUCUUCUGCACUCUGAGAAUUCUUUCUAUGCAAGAGGAGUUUUUCAGUAACAGUGAUUUUCAUUAUGUACUUUAACUUUUUGAUAUUCUAAUUUAUUGGUUGUUUAGCCAGUUGGCGUUUUGUAUAAAUACAGUUUACUAAUCAUUUUAUGAUGGAGGGUUAUUUCAAUCUAGUGUUUCCUGAAGGUAUUUUACUUGGUAUGUAAAACCCGGAGAAGCUGUUAUAGGCAUAUAAUAGACUGGAGGUCAUUUCCUGAGCUGUAGUUGAGAAUUGCACUGUAAAAACAAUGCUGCUCAUAUCCACAUUUUCCCACAGCUUCAUGCUCCCUUUGUCACUGGUUUGAGGUUAAUAUGACAAAUGCCAGGCUUAAAUGCCAAGUUCAGCUUUGUUUGUCUUUUUUUCCUAAAUUCCAGCUCCCCUAUGUAGCUAUAUAGCAUUAAUGUACCUCUUUUGCAAAAAUAAAACCACUUUUCAUUUAUUCUACACAUGCUUACAUUACUGUCUUCACGGCUGUUUAAAAACACUGCUCCAUUACUU